CCGAGCUCUCACCUGGCACACGAGGGGAGUUUGGCCCAUCUUUGGGAACAGGCCUCGAGCCAGGGGCCCUCAUGUCCACCCAGUGCAUCACAAACCCUCUCUGAUCCCCUGCCCAAAUGAAGAUCCCACCUGGCCCACAUAAUCAAUUGGCCCAGCUUCUGGAAUAUGCCCACACUAAGGUGCCACCCCAGCCAUCUCACAUUCAAGACACCCUCUUUGUGGGACGUCAUCUUGGCCAUGGUUUCACCAUUUCCCCCACCAUGCCAGGUGAAAGAUGCCACUGCUUGUAGUGGAGGCCCUAGAGGACAUGGUGUGGAUUUUGAGGCCUGUAUGAUGGCAAUGCUGGCCUGUGUGUUGAACUGGGGCCUGUUAUGGCCACAGAGGUCCGUCCUUUCUGUGAACAUCAGCCCUGUGCAAUUGGCUGUCAGUAAAGCAACAGAUCAUCUUGGCAUCUGGAAAGUAUGUAAAUGACAAUGGAUGGCCCUCUUUCUCGCUGGUCCAUGGAACAGUUUUACUGGUGUGAGAGAAUACCCAACUGGAGGCUCAAACCACUGCAGUAUUUGGAGGUCAAAAGCUAGAACAGGUUACUAUUUUUUUUUCAAGUGAACAAGUUACUUUCAAGAAAGAAAGUUUUGCUGAGAUAGGAUUGGAAUCAGGUUUUCCACUUCAAGGAAUAGAGGUGAGUAACAACAAAG